rnacentral:snRNA from 1 species
CUGCUCCCUUCGGUAACACAUAUACUAAAUUUGGAACUAUACACAGGAGAUUAUUAUAGCCCCUGUGUAAGGGUCAGAAGCCUUGGUGGCGUAGCUGUCAGCAGUUCA